rnacentral:antisense_RNA from 1 species
UUGUCAAUUUAUUUGUAAAACUCUUAAAGCUAAUCCUCGUAACUUUUCCUGUUUUUAUCUUACGUGAGGAAGCAUCCAUUGAUUUAGGUCCGAUCCCACUAUUGUAGUGGUCUCUUCGGAAUGUUCUUAUUAGUGUUUUUGAUUUAAAUACCUUUUGUACUCGUCCCGGUCUUACAACUUCAGGUUUACUUACUUCAAUUUGUGCAUUUAUCCAAGAUUCGUCUUCAGAAUAUUUCACGUCAUUUGUCAAGUCUGGAACGAAAGAACUAUAUGAAGGAUGCAGUACCCUCUGAGGCAUAACAGCCAUAGAAUGUAAAUUAGGAUCAGCAUAGGAUUCGAUUGUAGCAUCAACAAUAAACCCUGCAGAAAAAAUUUCCUUGCAAAAUAACUCAAAAAUAAUUUCCUUGUCAGCUUUGGCUUCAUGAGAAAAUUUAGCUAGUUUUUUGACACAGCCAGGGAUUGAAAGCAAUGAUACUUCAAAAAGCAUAUUCAGAAUUGUCUUUGUGAAAAAUAAUAAGACCUUCUUUUCUGUAUCAAAUACCCAACUUUGAUUAGUAGAUAUCGCAUAGUAUGCCAAACUUGCUAGUGCUAUUCUUAUUGGGAGGAAAUUUCUUUCAGGAUAAAUUUUUAUAUCAACGUUUUUAUCUUUUAUAAGUGACAUUGAAAGUAAGACUGCAUACCUAUAAAAUUCCAUCGGCUUUAAAAACCCCAGUUUUUCUGGAAUGUGGCUAUACGUAUUUGCUAUUCGAGUUUCGAAUUCUCUCUUUUGUUUAGAAAAAUAUCGUUCAAAAUGCUUUGAUUCAAGGCAUGCAUGCACAGCAAUACAAAUUUCCCUAUAAUGCGGAGAAAUAUAAUCAUCAACUACUAGUGAUACUGCAUAAAAACAGUUUUCCAUUAUAAAACGUUCGUCUUUAUAGCCGACACUCAUCAAUGCUGCGCCAAUAAUAUCUUUUAAUGAAUAGCUAAAAACCAUUCCAAGAAACUUUGGUGCCAUGCCAAGGUACAUACAAUGAAUUAAUUCUAAAUACCAAGUUGAAGGAACCAUGCAUUGUUCAAUAGCAAAAGUCAUUACUCUUUGGUAUGGCUCUGAAGGUAAUAAAACCAAGCUUCUUCUGAAGUGCUUUACUCUAGGGAAGUUAGACAACUUAAUAGUGUCGGAUAAAUUCAAAUCAAAGGUUCUCUUAAUGUAAUCCGUAAUUCGAUUGGGCUUAGCCUCUGUUGGAAGGUGAACAGGAACAACUGAUGUAGGGAUAAAAAAUUUAUCAGAAAGAAUUUCAUGUUCAUAAUGGUCACUACAGAAAAUACGUUGAGGGCUAUCACAUCCAAAGUAUUCAUUCGACUUAGUAGACAAUGCACUCUCCCAAUUUUCUCCUGGUUUUACAUUAUCAAUAAUCAGAGUAAUAAAUCUAUUCCAAGUCGAUUUCCGGCCAUUUAACAAUUUAUCAUCGUCAAUAUAACUCUUAUCUUUAUCUAUUUUUGGAGUAGAAUCUGCGCUAAUUGGUUUGGAGUCCGUUACCUUUGAAGUUUUACCUUGUUCAUCAAUUUUAACCGCAAAUUGUCGUGUUGAAUCGGCUAUUGAAGCGGACUCAAUAUAAUUACAACAACUUAUUGUGACAAUUACUAAAGGCAAUAUUAAGAAUAAUAUAUCUCUCAUUUUUUUCUCUUUUCCAAUAUCUUGU